AGAUGGCGACCGGCGCACGGGUGAGUAACACGUAUCCAACCUGCCGAUAACUCGGGGAUAGCCUUUCGAAAGAAAGAUUAAUACCCGAUGGCAUAGUUCUUCCGCAUGGUAGAACUAUUAAAGAAUUUCGGUCAUCGAUGGGGAUGCGUUCCAUUAGGUUGUUGGCGGGGUAACGGCCCACCAAGCCUUCGAUGGAUAGGGGUUCUGAGAGGAAGGUCCCCCACAUUGGAACUGAGACACGGUCCAAACUCCUACGGGAGGCAGCAUG
rnacentral:rRNA from 1 species